UUUCCGAUUGAUCUUGUCGGUGGCUUUCCUUUGUCUUGAAGAUUAAGCCAUGCAUGUCUAAGUAUGAACUGGUUUAAGGUGAAACUGCGUACGGCUCAUUACAUCAGCUAUAACUUUCUUUGAUCAUAAAUUCUAAAUGGAAUAACCGAGGAAAAGCCUGGGCUAAUACAUGCGACAAUUCCGGUAGUAAUAUCGGAAUGCUUUUAUUAGAUCAAAACCUUCUAGUUCUUUAACCGGAACUGUUUGUUGGUGACUCUAAAUAACUUUGUGUUGAUCGUAUGACCUUUGUGUCGACGACAUAUCUUUCAAGUGUCUGACUUAUCAACUUUAGACGGUACAUUAUAUGUCUACCGUGGUUGUAACGAGUACAGAGAAUCAGGGUUUGGUUCUGGAGAGGCCGCCUGAGAAACGGCGACCACUUCCAAGGAAGGCAGCAGGCGCGCAAAUUACCCACUCUCAAAACGAGGAGGUAGUGAAGAGAAAUAACGAUGUUAGUCUUAUUUAGGCUGACAAUCGGAAUGGGAACACUGUAAACAGGUUAUCGAUUAACAAUUGGAGGGCAAGUCUGGUGCCAGCAGCCGCGGUAAUUCCAGCUCCAAUAAGGAAAACUAAAGUUGCUGUGUUUAAAAAGCUCGUAGUUGAAUUUCGGGUAUUUGUUGCUAGCUGGUCUAACUGGCCAUGUUGGUUAACAGAUCCUCAUUUGCUGGACGGCUGGCGAUGAUCUUUAUCGAUUGUCGUCAGUUGCCAGAACGUUUACUUUGAGAAAAUUAGAGUGCUAAAAGCAGGCUUUCGCCUAUAUAUAUUGCAUGGAAUAAUGAAAUAAGAUCUCGAUUUUAUUUCGUUGGUUUUAGAAAUUGAGAUAAUGAUUAAUAGGAUCAGAGGGGGGCGUACGUACUGUGGUGUGAGAGGUGAAAUUCUUGGAUCGCCACAGGACGAACAGCAGCGAAGGCGUUCGCCAAGAAUGUUUUCAUUAAUCAAGAACGAAAGUUUGAGGUUCGAAGACGAUUAGAUACCGUCCUAGUUCAAACCAUAAACGUUGCCAACUGUCUUUUAGAUGCGGUUAUUUAUAUGACUCAUCUGGCGGAUCUCGAGAAAUCUAAGUUUUUAGGUUCCGGGGGAAGUAUGGUUGCAAAGCUGAAACUUAAAAGAAUUGACGGAAGGACACACAAGAAGUGGAGCCUGUGGCCUAAUUUGACUCAACACGGGAAACCUUACUCGGCCAGGACACUUUUAGGAUUGACAGAUUGAGAGCUCUUUCUUGAUUAGGUGGGUGGUGGUGCAUGGUCGUUCGUAGUUCGUGGAGCGAUUUGUCUGAUUAAUUUCGAUAACGAACGAGACUCCGGCUUACUAAAUAGUCUAAAGUUCGAAGGGACUUUUCAAGACUUCUUAGCAGGAUAAGUGGCACUUUUUAAGCCACACGAAAUGGAGCAAUAACAGGUCUGUGAUGCCCUUAGAUGUCCGAGGCUGCACGCGCGCUACACUGGAGAGUUCAGAAUGUUUCUUCCUACUUCGACAGAAGUGGGUAACCAUGAAAUUCUCUUCGUGACUGGGAUCGGAGCUUGCAAUUAUUCUCCGUCAACGAGGAAUUCCUAGUAAGCACUAUUUCAUCAGAAUGUGCUGAUUAUGUCCCUGUCCUUUGUACACACCGCCCGUCGCUACUACCGAUUGAAUGUUUUAGUGAGAUCUUCGGCUUGGUUUUCCGAGCGGCUCUCGGGUCGUUCGGUUUUUAUCGAAAAGAUGCUCAAACUGGAUCAUUUAGAGGAAGUAAAAGUCGUAACAAGGUAUUCGUAGGUGAACCUGCGUAUGGAUCAUUA
rfam:Adineta vaga 18S ribosomal RNA gene, internal transcribed spacer 1, 5.8S ribosomal RNA gene, internal transcribed spacer 2, and 28S ribosomal RNA gene, complete sequence.